AGUGAACGCUGGCGGUAGGCCUAACACAUGCAAGUCGAACGGCAGCACAGUAAGAGCUUGCUCUUACGGGUGGCGAGUGGCGGACGGGUGAGGAAUACAUCGGAAUCUACUUUUUCGUGGGUGAUAACGUAGGGAAACUUACGCUAAUACCGCAUACGACCUACGGGUGAAAGCAGGGGAUCUUCGGACCUUUCGCGAUUGAAUGAGCCGAUGUCGGAUUAGCUAGUUGGCGGGGUAAAGGCCCACCAAGGCGACGAUCCGUAGCUGGUCUGAGAGGAUGAUCAGCCACACUGGAACUGAGACACGGUCCAGACUCCUACGGGAGGCAGCAGUGGGGAAUAUUGGACAAUGGGCGAAAGCCUGAUCCAGCAAUACCGCGUGGGUGAAGAAGGCCUUCGGGUUGUAAAGCCCUUUUGUUGGGAAAGAAAAGCAGCAGGUUAAUACCCCGCUGUUCUGACGGUACCCAAAGAAUAAGCACCGGCUAACUUCGUG
rnacentral:rRNA from 1 species